rnacentral:rRNA from 1 species
CCUACGGGGGGCAGCAGUGAGGAAUAUUGGUCAAUGGACGAGAGUCUGAACCAGCCAAGUAGCGUGAAGGAUGACUGCCCUAUGGGUUGUAAACUUCUUUUAUAUGGGAAUAAAACAGGGUAUGCAUACCCUCUUGUAUGUACCAUAUGAAUAAGGAUCGGCUAACUCCGUGCCAGCAGCCGCGGUAAUACGGAGGAUCCGAGCGUUAUCCGGAUUGAUUGGGUUUAAGGGGAGCGUAGGUGGAUUGUUAAGUAAGUUGUGAAAGUUUGCGGCUCAACCGUAAAAUUGCAGUUGAAACUAGCAGUCUUGAGUACAGUAGAGGUGGGCGGAAUUCGUGGUGUAGCGGUGAAAUGCUUAGAUAUCACGAAGAACUCCGAUUGCGAAGGCAGUUCACUGGACUGCAACUGACACUGAGGCUCGAAAGUGUGGGUAUCAAACAGGAUUAGAUACCCGAGUAGUC